rnacentral:rRNA from 1 species
GGGCCCGCACAAGCGGUGGAGUAUGUGGUUUAAUUCGAUGCAACGCGAAGAACCUUACCAGGGUUUGACAUCCUGCGAAUCUCUUGGAAACGAGAGAGUGCCUUCGGGAACGCAGUGACAGGUGGUGCAUGGCUGUCGUCAGCUCGUGUCGUGAGAUGUUGGGUUAAGUCCCGCAACGAGCGCAACCCACGUCUUUAGUUGCCAGCAUUUAGUUGGGCACUCUAAACGACUGCCUCGUCUCAACGAGGAGGAAGGUGGGGAUGACGUCAAGUCAGUAUGGCCCUUACGGCCAGGGCUGCACACGUACUACAAUGCCCAGUACAAUGGGAAGCAAUACCGCGAGGUGGAGCAAAUCCUACAAAACUGGGCCCAGUUCAAGAUUGUAGUCUGCAACUCGACUACAUGAAGUCGGAAUCGCUAGUAAUGGCGCAUC